GACGAACGCUGGCGGCGUGCUUAACACAUGCAAGUCGAACGGAAAGGCCCCUUUGGGGGUACUCGAGUGGCGAACGGGUGAGUAACACGUGAGUAACCUGCCCUUGACUUCGGGAUAACUUCAGGAAACUGGGGCUAAUACCGGAUAGGAAUCCUUGCUGCAUGGUGGGGGUUGGAAAGCUUCGGCGGUUUUGGAUGGACUCGCGGCUUAUCAGCUUGUUGGUGGGGUAGUGGCUUACCAAGGCUUUGACGGGUAGCCGGCCUGAGAGGGCGACCGGCCACAUUAGGACUGAGAUACGGCCCAGACUCCGACGGGAGGCAGCAGUGGGGAAUAUUGCACAAUGGGCGGAAGCCUGAUGCAGCAACGCCGCGUGCGGGAUGACGGCCUUCGGGUUGUAAACCGCUUUCAGCAGGGGCGAAGCUUGUGGUGACGGUACCUGCAGAAGAAGCACCGGCUAACUACGUG
rnacentral:rRNA from 1 species